rnacentral:rRNA from 1 species
UGCCAGCAGCCGCGGUAAUACGAAGGGUGCUAGCGUUGUUCGGAAUUACUGGGCGUAAAGAGCAUGUAGGCGGCCAGGUAAGUCAGAUGUGAAAUUCCGGGGCUCAACCCCGGAGCUGCAUUUGAAACUGCCUGGCUAGAGUAUAGUUAGGGAAAACGGAAUUCCACGUGUAGCGGUGAAAUGCGUAGAUAUGUGGAAGAACACCGGUGGUGAAGACGGUUUUCUGGGCUAAAACUGACGCUGAGGCGCGAAAGCUAGGGGAGCAAACAGGAUUAGAUA